GACGAACCGUGCGAACGUUGUCCGGAAUCAUUGGGCGUAAAGCGCGCGUAGGCGGCCCGGUAAGUCCGCUGUGAAAGUCAAAGGCUCAACCUUUGAAUGUCAGCGGAUACUGCCGGGCUAGAGUCCGGAAGAGGCGAGUGGAACUCCUGGUGUAGCGGUGGAAUGCGCAGAUAUCAGGAAGAACACCGGUGGCGAAGGCGGCUCUCUGGGCCUUACCUGACGCUGAGGAGCGAAAGCGUGGGUAGCGAACAGG
rnacentral:rRNA from 1 species